UGAUAUCAUUGUUUGAGUGUUGGAGAAGAUGAUGAGGAGCACUUGCCAAGGGAAGCUGCAACAGAUCUCAUUCACAUGGAACUUGGAAGUUUAGAUAGGAAUCCAAAUCGAACUAGAUCUGGAAAGGUUCCACACUGGUGUCGUUGUGAAAUGCGUCCCAUUCUUCGUUGGUCUGGAACAGAAGCAAAUCCAGAGAGACUAUUUUUGGAUGUCCAAACUAUAAUAUGGUGUGGAUUUUUUGUGUGGACAAAUAACAUGGAAGAAGAAGACAUGACUGGCAGACAUGAAACUGAAAAUAGCAUUGAGUAUUGGAAGAUGAACGUGGGUUGGAAGAUUAGUGCAAUAGAAGCUGAAAUUAGGAUUUUAAAAGUAUGGAAUAGUAU